UUCCGGUUGAUCCUGCCGGACCUGACUGCUAUCGGAUUGAUACUAAGCCAUGCGAGUCAUUGUAGCAAUACAAGGCAGACGGCUCAGUAACGCGUAGUCAAUCUACCCUAUGGACGGGGAUAACCUCGGGAAACUGAGAAUAAUACCCGACAGAACAUUAUGCCUGGAAUGGUUUAUGUUUUAAAUGAUUUAUCGCCGUAGGAUGGGACUGCGGCCUAUCAGUUUGUUGGUGAGGUAAUGGCCCACCAAGACUAUUACAGGUACGGGCUCUGAGAGGAGUGGCCCGGAGAUGGGUACUGAGACACGGACCCAGGCCCUAUGGGGCGCAGCAGGCGAGAAAACUUUGCAAUGUGCGAAAGCACGACAAGGUUAAUCCGAGUGGUUUCUGCUAAAGAAACCUUUUGUUAGUCCUAGAAACACUGACGAAUAAGGGGUGGGCAAGUUCUGGUGUCAGCCGCCCCGGUAAAACCAGCACCUCAAGUGGUCAGGAUGAUUAUUGGGCCUAAAGCAUCCGUAGCUUGCUUUGUAAGUUCUCGGUUAAAUCCAUGCGCUUAACGUAUGGGCUGCCGGUAAUACUGCAAAGCUAGGGAGUGGGAGAGGUAGACGGUACUCGGUAGGAAGGGGUAAAAUCCUUUGAUCUAUUGAUGACCACCUGUGGCGAAGGCGGUUUACCAGAACACGUCCGACGGUGAGGGAUGAAAGCUGGGGGAGCAAACCGGAUUAGAUACCCGGGUAGUCCCAGCUGUAAACUAUGCAAACUCAGUGAUGCAUUGGCUUGUGGCCAAUGCAGUGCUGCAGGGAAGCCGUUAAGUCUGCCGCCUGGGUAGUACGGUCGCAAGACUGAAACUUAAAGGAAUUGGCGGGAAGGGCGAAUUCG
rnacentral:rRNA from 1 species